GCCAGCAGCCAUAUCACCCUGUAACUCACAACUGGCACCCACUGAAGCUAAGCAUGUGUGAGCCUGGUCAAUACCUGAAUGGGAGAACUCUUGGGAAAAACUAAGGUUGCUGCUGGAG
rnacentral:rRNA from 1 species